rnacentral:rRNA from 1 species
UACGUAGGGUGCAAGCGUUGUCCGGAAUUAUUGGGCGUAAAGAGCUCGUAGGCGGUUUGUUGCGUCGGCUGUGAAAUCCCGAGGCUCAACCUCGGGUCUGCAGUCGAUACGAGCAAACUAGAGUGUUGCAGGGGAGACUGGAAUUCCUGGUGUAGCGGUGAAAUGCGCAGAUAUCAGGAGGAACACCGGUGGCGAAGGCGGUUCUCUGGGCAUGUUCUGACGCUGAGGAGCGAAAGUGUGGGGAGCGAACAGG